GGAAUUCGAUUGUCGUAACAAGGUUUCCGUAGGUGAACCUGCGGAAGGAUCAUUA
rnacentral:rRNA from 1 species